rnacentral:rRNA from 1 species
AACGAACGCUGGCGGCGUGGAUUAGGCAUGCAAGUCGAGCGAGAACGGUGGAACUUUGAGGAGUUCGCUUCUCAAAGGGAAGCCUAGUAAAGCGGCGAACUGGUGAGUACAAGGUGGGUAAUUUACCUCAAAGUGGGGGAUACCCCCGGGAAACCGGGAUUAAUACCGCAGUGGUUUUGGGAUCUCCGGAUGUCAAGACUGAAGGUGGCUCUUACUUCAAUUAGAGCUGUCGCUUUGAGAUAAGCCCGCCCCCCAUUAGCUAGUUGGUAGGGUAAAAGCCUACCAAGGCAACGAUGGGUAGCUGGUCUUAGAGGAUGGUCAGCCACACUGGGACUGAGAUACGGCCCAGACUCCUACGGGAGGCAGCAGUCUAGAGGCUUCGGCAAUGGGGGAAACCCUGACCGAGCGACGCCGCGUGUGGGAUGAAGCCCCUCGGGGUGUAAACCACUGUCAGGGAGGAAGAAUACGCCGGAGGUGAUAAGCCUCUGGCGGGAGACGGUACUUCCAAAGGAAGCCCCGGCUAACUCCGUGCCAGCAGCCGCGGUAAUACGGAGGGGGGCAAGCGUUGUUCGGAAUUAUUGGGCGUAAAGGGCGCGUAGGCGGGUAGGUAAGUCUGGUGUGAAAACUCGCCGCUCAACGGGAAGAGUGCACCAGAAACUGCCCAUCUUGAGUGCGAGAGAGGUGAGUGGAAUUCCUGGUGUAGCGGUGGAAUGCGUAGAUAUCAGGAAGAACACCGGUGGCGAAGGCGGCUCACUGGCUCGCUACUGACGCUGAGGCGCGAAAGCCAGGGGAGCGAACGGGAUUAGAUACCCCGGUAGUCCUGGCCGUAACCGGUGGACACUAGGUGUGGGAGGUAUCGACCCCUUCCGUGCCGUAGCUAACGCAUUAAGUGUCCCGCCUGGGGAGACGAUCGCAAGGUU